rnacentral:rRNA from 1 species
UACGUAGGGUGCGAGCGUUGUCCGGAAUCAUUGGGCGUAAAGGGCGCGUAGGUGGCCCCUCAAGCGUGCGGUGAAAGUCAGGGGCUCAACCCCUGAUCGGCCGUGCGAACUGGGGAGCUUGAGCACUGUAGAGGCAGGCGGAAUUCCGGGUGUAGCGGUGGAAUGCGUAGAGAUCCGGAAGAACACCGGUGGCGAAGGCGGCCUGCUGGGCAGUUUUGCUGACACUGAGGCGCGACAGCGUGGGGAGCAAACAGG